rnacentral:rRNA from 1 species
CCUACGGGAGGCAGCAGUGGGGAAUAUUGCGCAAUGGGCGAAAGCCUGACGCAGCGACGCCGCGUGAGGGAUGAAGGUCUUCGGAUCGUAAACCUCUGUCAGCAGGGAAGAACGGUCACUGUGCUAAUCAGCAGUGAAUUGACGGUACCUGCAAAGGAAGCAUCGGCUAACUCCGUGCCAGCAGCCGCGGUAAUACGGAGGGUGCGAGCGUUAAUCGGAAUUACUGGGCGUAAAGCGCUCGUAGGCGGUAUGUCAAGUCAAGGGUGAAAUCCCCGCGCUCAACGUGGGAACUGCCUUUGAAAAUGGCAGACUGGAGUGUGUGAGAGGAUAGUGGAAUUCCAGGUGUAGGAGUGAAAUCCGUAGAUAUCUGGAGGAACAUCAGUGGCGAAGGCGACUAUCUGGCACAUAACUGACGCUGAGGAGCGAAAGCGUGGGUAGCAAACAGGAUUAGAUACCCCAGUAGUC